rnacentral:rRNA from 1 species
ACCCGCACAAGCGGUGGAGCAUGUGGUUUAAUUCGAAGAUACGCGAAGAACCUUACCUGGCCUUGACAUUGAUAGAAUCUGGUAGAGAUACUGGAGUGCUAGCUUGCUAGAACUUGAAAACAGGUGCUGCACGGCUGUCGUCAGCUCGUGUCGUGAGAUGUUGGGUUAAGUCCCGCAACGAGCGCAACCCUCGUCGUUAGUUGCUAACAGUUAGGCUGAGAACUCUAACGAGACUGCCUUCGUAAGGAGGAGGAAGGUGAGGACGACGUCAAGUCAUCAUGGCCCUUACGGCCUGGGCUACACACGUGCUACAAUGGUCGGUACAAAGGGUUGCCAAGCCGCGAGGUGGAGCUAAUCCCAUAAAACCGAUCGUAGUCCGGAUCGCAGUCUGCAACUCGACUGCGUGAAGUCGGAAUCGCUAGUAAUCGUGAAUCAGAAUGUCACGGUGAAUACGUUCCCGGGCCUU